GUGCCUGUAGUGCAAUGGACUGCGCGUUGGACUUCUAAUUCAAAAGUUGUAAGUUCGAAUCCUACAUGGCAUG